GCCGCUCCGAGGCUUCGACCUGCAAGAAGCAGAGAUGUUUCCCAUGAUGGCGACGGAAUGGCAGAUGCAACGUCGUUGCUGAUGACUGGUGAAACUUCUUGCUGAUUGCAGUGUGCAGAUCUGUCCAGAUGCCCUUGUUGAUGGAAACCACUUGCAAGUUUUUCCACUUAAAAUGUUCAGAUUUGUGGUUGAUUUUAGAUCAUAAAGAAGCUGGCAACAUUCUGUCUUUGGCCUCUUUUUUUGUGGGCUGCUCCAUCUGUUGAAAAGUUAUAAAUGCAUUUUACUGUUUUUGAUUUCGCACAUUGUGUCUCGAAGCCUAUCAAGAGCCCUCACGGUGUGCACGUCGUUAUCUGAACAACCUGCAUAUUACAGGAUUUUCAGGAACAACAGGACAACUUGAAUUUCUGGUGCACGUUGUUCAAAAUGCCCCUGCCCUGAAGAUCUUGACGAUCAAAGGGGCUGACUUGACUGGUUGUGAUCUCAAUCAAGAAGGGAAAGGCAAUUAUUUUUUCAGUUUCGAGAAUUGGAUAAUUUCACCAAAUGUUGAGCUGCGUAUUAUUUAACUGUAUGCCAGACAUGUAGCGGCUCUUGUACAUGCAACGGGUUGCUGUUUUGUAAUUUCCCUCCCUUUUUGAUUGGAACACAAGGUACUUGUCUGCAUGUAAACAUAUAGU